UGCUGUGCUGGGGCGGGAUGGUUC
rnacentral:piRNA from 1 species